GGGGAGCUGGCGCAACGGUAGCGCGUCAGAUUCCAGCAUCUGUGGGAUUACCUGAAGGUUAGCGGUUCGAAUCCGUUGUUCCUCA
rnacentral:tRNA from 1 species